UGGGUAAUGAAGUACAGAGGUUACAUAGCUCAGUUCCUUCAAAACUAUUUUUCAGAUCAUUCACCUAUCCAAAUUGAAACCAUGGUAGGAGAUGCACAUCAUAGGAAGUAUUUUAGAUUCAUAAAUGAUCUAGGUGACAAAGACAAAUUCCUUCUAAUUGUAAAGAGUGUAUGGUCUAUGUAUAUCUCAGGCAAUUGUAUGCAUAGAGUAUGGAAGAAAUUACAGUUAUGCAAAGCUCCACAGCAGAAGUUGAGUAGGG
rnacentral:lncRNA from 1 species